GCAGAACGUGUUAAUAAUGGGUGCGUUAAGGCACUGUCACAGUGUGGGAGAGAGGUAUUUAUUAAAAGUGUGUUAUAAGCAAUCCCAAUCUAUACUAUGUCGUGCUUUCUUUUACCAAAUUCUUUAUGCUGAGAAAUGGAAUAGAUUAUGUGUAAGUUUUGGUAGCAAAAACGGAAGGGGAAGCAAGGAAUGCAUUGAUGCAAUUAGAGUAAAUUAUGCGUGUUAAAGGAGGAUAGUGGGAUGGGCUUCCGAGUUUAAUGUGGCCCUUCUCGCAAAACAAGGCUGACGAUUAUUGGAGUAUCUCGAUUCGUUAUUAGCAAAGAAAUUUAAGGCUAAAUAUUAUCUUAAUACAGACUUUAUGCAAGUAGAGUUAAGAAACUGCCUUUCAUAUACCUGGCGAAGCAUUUGGGCAAUAGGGAAAGUCUUGCAAUAUAGUAUGGCCUAGAGAGUUGGUAAUGGUGAUAACAUCUCAAUUUGGCAAGAUGUCUGGGUUCUUGGAUUGGAAAACCAAAGAGUUCAAGAGUCAGUCAAUGAUCAUAGUGUAACAAAAGUGGUAAACUUGAUUGAUUUAAAUUUAAGACAGUGGAAAGAGAAAGUAAUUACCAGAAUUUUUAGUAACAAAGAGGAAGAGGCGAUCCUGUACAUUCCUUUGGCAAAACACCCACUGGAGGAUAGAAGGGUUUGGAGUGGAGAACUUACGAGGGAAUACACAGUAAUGAGUGGUUACAGAAACUUAUUGACGAAAAAUAAAAACCUAGAAAUGGCUAACAAUGAUGACCCAUGCAAAGAAUAUUACAGUAAUCUUUGACAUACAACAAACUGGAAAAUAUACAACUAUAUCCCUACAUUUAGAAACCUAUACAAUAGAAGAAUCAGUAACUCGGUGCUGUGUCCAAGAUGCAGGAAGGGAACAAAGACUUUGGAGCAUGCAUUUGUGGACUGUCAUGCAAUAAAAGAGUAUGGUCAAAACUUGAGUUCGGGAUGCUGGGAACAACAUCAAAUGAGACUUUAUAGGAAUGGAUAAAGGGGUCAACUUACUAAAAGUAGUGGCAAGCAGAAACAACUCUUAUUUGCUACCAUAUGGGUGAUUUGGAUAGGAUGAAAUAGAAUGUUGCAUGACAAAAUACAACAAUCAACCACAAAGAUAGUAUGCUUUAUAAGGAAAUAUAUAGAGGAAUGGUCAAUAGUAAAGAAUAACAUAUGAAGGAGGAUCACUAACAGUGAACACUGGAAACCACUAGACCAGAGUAUAACCAAAAUAAACUUUGGUGGGGC
rnacentral:lncRNA from 1 species